rnacentral:rRNA from 1 species
ACUCCUACGGGAGGCAGCGGUGAGGAAUAUUGGGCAAUGCCCGAAAGGGUGACCCAGCAACGCCGCGUGGAGGAUGAAUGCCGUAAGGUUGUAAACUCCUGUUAGAGGGGAAGAAUAAUUCCGAUCGACUCGGAAAUUGACUGUACCCUCAGAGAAAGCCCCGGCUAACUACGUGCCAGCAGCCGCGGUAAUAC